UACGAAGGGGGCUAGCGUUGUUCGGAAUUACUGGGCGUAAAGCGCGUGUAGGCUGCGAUGUAAGUCAGGUGUGAAAGCCCUCAGCUUAACUGAGGAAGUGCACUUGAUACUGUGUCGCUUGAGUGUCGGAGGGGGUGGCGGAAUUCCCGGUGUAGAGGUGAAAUUCGUAGAUAUCGGGAGGAACACCUGUGGCGAAGGCGGCCACCUGGACGACAACUGACGCUGAGACGCGAAAGCGUGGGUAGCAAACAGG
rnacentral:rRNA from 1 species